rnacentral:rRNA from 1 species
GACGAACGCUGGCGGCGUGCUUAACACAUGCCAGUCGAACGGAAAGUCCCUGCUUUUUUUUGGUGCUCGAGUGGCGAACGGGUGCGUAACACGUGAGUAACCUGCCCUUGACUUUGGGAUAACUUCAGGAAACUGGGGCUAAUCCCGCAUAGGAGCUCCUGCUGCAUUGUGGUUGUUGGAAAGUUUCGGCGGUUGGGGGUGGACUCGCCGCUUAUCAGCUUGUUGGUGGGGUAGUGGCUUACCAAGGCUUUGACGGGUAGCCGGCCUGAGAGGGUGAACGGCAACAUUGGGAAUGAGAUAACGCCCAGAAGCCUACAGGAGGAAGCAGUGGGGAAUAUUGAACAAUGGGAGGCAGCCUGAUGCAGCAAAGACGCGUGCGGGAUGACGGAAUUCGGGUUGUAAACCGAUUUCGCCUGUGACGACGCGUGAGUGAAGGUAAUGGGUAAAGAAGCACCGGCUAACUACGUG